rnacentral:lncRNA from 1 species
GUUGAGCCACAAGGAGUUUAGGUCCCUCUUCACAGCACAGAGAGCCACCGGUGAGGCCUUUCAGCAAGGAGCCACUUGAUCAUGGUGCUUCCUGAAGUCUGCUAGAACCUCAGCGUGCCAGCCCUGGAGGUCAGAGAGGACACAGCAGGGACCAGAGAGGUGUCGGGGUGCCGGAAAACUCUGUUCACGCUGGAACAACACUGGUUUCUGUGCCACUGGGCGUAAGCAGAGCAGAGCUUGCCAAGUUAGCCCCCAGGUCUCUUUCUCCUGCAAACACGGCCCUGGUCUAGACAGAAGAACUGUAUCAGCCAAUUACCAGCCCCUGGAAAAGAGCCUCAGCCCGACAUGUGGGGACGAAGCCAAGAGUCGUAGUCUGGCCCCUAGACAGAACAGCACAGCCACGCAUCCCUUCCACUCUCUGUAAGUACGAAGCCCCGGAUGCUCCCAGGUGCUUGGCUCAAUCACACUCCCUUUCUAACUGUCUUC